rnacentral:rRNA from 1 species
UACGAAGGGGGGCUAGCGUUGCUCGGAAUUACUGGGCGUAAAGCGCACGUAGGCGGCUUGUUAAGUCAGGGGUGAAAUCCUGGAGCUCAACUCCAGAACUGCCUUUGAUACUGAAAGUCUUGAGUAUGGGAGAGGUGAGUGGAACUGCAAGUGUAGAGGUGAAAUUCGUAGAUAUUCGCAAGAACACCAGUGGCGAAGGCGGCUCACUGGCCCAUAACUGACGCUGAGGCACGAAAGCGUGGGGAGCAAACAGG